GGGCACUUGGCACAGUUGGUAGCGCGCACGCUUCGCAUGCCUUCUUCGGAGUUGCGUGAGGUCGUGGGUUCAACUCCCACAGUGUCCA